CUGCCUCUUGGGUUUGCGUGGUUUUUCUGCCUCAGCCUCCUGAGUAGCUAAGGGAGGUGUCUUGAGAUUAUCAUCGGCUGAGGGUGGAAGCGGCCCCCGCAGACGCUCGGCAGGUGUCUUGAGAUUAUCAUCUGCUGAGGGUGGAAGCGGCCCCCGCAGACGCUCGGCAGGUGUCUUGAUAUUAUCAUCUGCUGAGGGUGGAGCUGAGGGUGGAAGGGGAGUGAGCUGACGCUCGGAAGGUGUCUUGAGAUUAUCAUCCGCUGAGGGUGGAAGCGGCCCCCGCAGACGCUCGGCAGGUGUCUUGAUAUUAUCAUCUGCC
rnacentral:lncRNA from 1 species